GGAAAACUCACCAGGUCCAGACAUAGUAAGGAUUGACAGAUUGACAGCUCUUUCUUGAUUCUAUGGGUGGUGGUGCAUGGCCGUUCUUAGUUGGUGGAGUGAUCUGUCUGGUUAAUUCCGUUAACGAACGAGACCUUAGCCUGCUAAAUAGUAGUCCUGCAAGCCUUGGUUUGCUUGUCUGCUUCUUAGAGGGACUUUAUGUGUUUAACAUAAGGAAGUUUGAGGCAAUAA
rnacentral:rRNA from 1 species